GCCUGAGAGGGUGACCGGCCACAUUGGGACUGAGAUACGGCCCAGACUCCUACGGGAGGCAGCAGUGGGGAAUAUUGCACAAUGGGCGGAAGCCUGAUGCAGCAACGCCGCGUGCGGGAUGACGGCCUUCGGGUUGUAAACCGCUUUCGCCUGUGACGAAGCGUGAGUGACGGUAAUGGGUAAAGAAGCACCGGCUAACUACGUGCCAGCAGCCGCGGUGAUACGUAGGGUGCGAGCGUUGUCCGGAUUUAUUGGGCGUAAAGGGCUCGUAGGUGGUUGAUCGCGUCGGAAGUGUAAUCUUGGGGCUUAACCCUGAGCGUGCUUUCGAUACGGGUUGACUUGAGGAAGGUAGGGGAGAAUGGAAUUCCUGGUGGAGCGGUGGAAUGCGCAGAUAUCAGGAGGAACACCAGUGGCGAAGGCGGUUCUCUGGGCCUUUCCUGACGCUGAGGAGCGAAAGCGUGGGGAGCGAACAGGCUUAGAUACCCUGGUAGUCCACGCUGUAAACGGUGGGUACUAGGUGUGGGGUCCAUUCCACGGGUUCCGUGCCGUAGCUAACGCUUUAAGUACCCCGCCUGGGGAGUACGGCCGCAAGGCUAAAACUCAAAGGAAUUGACGGGGCCCCGCACAAGCGGCGGAGCAUGCGGAUUAAUUCGAUGCAACGCGUAGAACCUUACCUGGGUUUGACAUGGAUCGGGAGUGCUCAGAGAUGGGUGUGCCUCUUUUGGGGUCGGUUCACAGGUGGUGCAUGGCUGUCGUCAGCUCGUGUCGUGAGAUGUUGGGUUAAGUCCCGCAACGAGCGCAACCCUUGUUCACUGUUGCCAGCACGUUAUGGUGGGGACUCAGUGGAGACCGCCGGGGUCAACUCGGAGGAAGGUGGGGAUGACGUCAAGUCAUCAUGCCCCUUAUGUCCA
rnacentral:rRNA from 1 species